rnacentral:misc_RNA from 1 species
AUUGACUCCAAUGAUUCGGCUAUAACGGCUAAGCUAACAAUGACCACCGUGCGCAGCCCCAUCGCCACCGCCAAGCCCACCGUGUCCUUCACCACUCCGCAAAACUACGCCACCAGACUCUCUCAUCUCCUUGCUCUCAAGUCAUUCACUCCCCUAUGGUGUCCCACCAUUAUCACCGAACCCACUUCGCAAACCCUCUCCUCCCUAGCCCGCCACCUUGCCCCCUAUACCAUUUCUCCUGUUUCCGCAAUCGUCUUACCUUCUCGCACAGCAAUCACCGCCUUCUCGACCGCCAUACUCUCACUCACAACUCCUCUGUUACCUCCGAGCGGUGACGCAUUCAUCAUCGGCGCUCUGGGCAAAGACGCAGAACUGAUUGACACUAAAUUUUUGCUUAAUAUUUGUUCUAAUAUCGAUAGGAUUAGGGUUGUAGUUCCUCCAACGGCGACGCCGAGUGGGCUGGUGCAAUCGCUGGGGGCUGGACGCGGUCGGGGGGUGAUGUGUCUAGUUCCGCAGGUAGUCGGACUGGAGGAGCCUCCGGUGGUUCCAAACUUUCUCCGGGAUCUGCAGGCAGCGGGGUGGGCUCCUGUUAGGGUGGAUGCUUACGAGACUCGGUGGUUGGGACCUACCUGUGCGGAGGGAAUAGUGGAAAAGAGUGAAAAGGAAGGAAAUGGAUUAGACGCAGUGGUGUUCACGAGUAGUGCGGAAGUGGAAGGGUUGUUGAAGAGCUUGAGUGAGUUUGGGUGGGAUUGGAGGACGGUGAGGCGGCGGUGGCCGGAUUUGGUGGUGGCGGCACAUGGGCCAGUCACGGCAGCUGGUGCUGAGAGGCUGAGCGUGGAUGUUGAUGUUGUGAGUGGCAGGUUUGAGAGUUUUGAUGGCGUUGUGGAUGCUCUGCAUACUAGGCUUCGAGGUUAAAGAUGUAACAAAACACACAAAAGAUUGGAUGACAGAAAGUUGAGUAAUUGUGGUGGGGAACUUUAGCUAAGAUGCUUUAAGAAUAUGAGCAAUGUUAGAAGGCUUCAAUGAGAAGAAAGUGGUGUCCUGUUCUUCCCUUUUCCUGCUUAAGCAAGAAUGUGGAAACUGUUUGUAAUUGUGAAAAACUUACAAUGAUGUGUACACUAAUUAUCUUCAGUCUGAUUCAUCUGUUUUCUGAAAUUUUCCUGUUCUUUUCAUUAUCAUUAUUGUUGUUAUUGUUAACGUUACAAUCAUUGUUAUUAUUGCUUAUUUUAACCCUUUCCUCUCUCUAUUUAGAGAACUUCCCUUGGCAUUUAUAGCUGUGAAAAUAAUUAGAGAAAAAGAAGUUGCCGGUUGAAACAUGAAGAUAUAUGUCAAGAUAUGCUAUCUUCUGCAUACGUACUUGUCUAAAAAGUAAAAAAAUAAAAAUCUGGUAUCAGCACUCAAGUCCCAUCUUGUAGAACUUUUUCUUUGAUAGUUGAAGUGAAAGCUUUCUAAAUGAUUUUUGAAUGGGAGGAGUUAUUCAAUAAUGUGUUAGUACUUAGUACUGCUAUUUUAUCUGGAAAUUAAUCAACAUCAUAUUUAUCUCCAGAAAUUAAUGGGAAAAAUUUUAACCAUUGUAUUACU